ACGAACGCUGGCGGCGUGCUUCACACAUGCAAGUCGAACGGAAAGGCCCCUUUGGGGGUACUCGAGUGGCGAACGGGUGAGUAACACGUGAGUAACCUGCCCUUGACUUCGGGAUAACUUCAGGAAACUGGGGCUAAUACCGGAUAGGAAUCCUUGCUGCAUGGUGGGGGUUGGAAAGCUUCGGCGGUUUUGGAUGGACUCGCGGCUUAUCAGCUUGUUGGUGGGGUAGUGGCUUACCAAGGCUUUGACGGGUAGCCGGCCUGAGAGGGCGACCGGCCACAUUGGGACUGAGAAACGGCCCAGACUCCUACGGGAGGCAGCAGUGGGGAAUAUUGCACAAUGGGCGGAAGCCUGAUGCAGCAACGCCGCGUGCGGGAUGACGGCCUUCGGGUUGUAAACCGCGUUCAGCAGGGGCGAAGCUUGUGGUGACGGUACCUGCAGAAGAAGCACCGGCUAACUACGUG
rnacentral:rRNA from 1 species